CUUUCCUUUUUUAAACAUUUUGGUAAUAUAGACCAAGAUACUCUAUUCCUAAAAUAACAUGCCUGACUAUUAUCUAGCUUAUUGGAUUUUAAAAUAAAUGCGAGGGUACUAUUAAAGAUGCUGGUUAAAAGUAAGCUGAGCAAGCUGACACCUGCCUUUGAUCUCAGCAAAGGUAGAUUAGAGGCCAGCCUGGCCCAUAUAGGGAGCUCCAGUCUAGUGAGGCCUAGAGAGUAAGACCCUCCUCCAUCCCCAACCUUGCAAAUAUGAAUAUGCAAGGUUGUAAUACCUUUACAAGGAACUUAAUAAAUACAGAAGACGGCAGUUGGUACCAGUGUUCACUUUUCCAUGACUGAAUUGAAUCUUAGUCCUGCAGCCUCAGGACUUCUCAGUUUGCUUCCCCUACAUGGAACCAUUCUACCUCAGGAAAGAAGAAAAGCUUCCAGGGUUCCACGCCAAGGAAGAGCUGAUUCACACUUCCAUAAAUGGAGCUGAGAGAAGACGCCCCACAUCUCAACGCACUGAUCCAGGACUUUAGCCUAUGACAGGAAAACACCAGCAAAAUGGUUACAAAUGAAAAUGGGAUCAACUUAUGUGAGAACUAAGAAGUAAUUACAGGUCUGGCAAGAAGGCUUGGCAGGAAAAGGAGCUUGCUGCCAAGCCUGAGGACCUGAGUUCAAUCCCUGGAACGCACAUGAUGGAAGGAGAAACAGUCUCAUGCAAGCUGUCCCUUUACCUGCACAUAUAUGUAGUAGCAUGCACAUACAGCCCCUACAUAAGUGUUAUAAAAACUGCUUUAAAAGUAUGAGUAAUACAGUUACAAAAGUAAAACUAAGUGUUUUAUAGGCUCUCCUGUGUGAACUCUGUUAGUAUUUCCUUUUGGUUCCCAGCCAAGAUCUCUGGGAAGAGGUUCCCAUUACUAAUUACUCACUGCAAACUCUCGUGUUUUUACUGAGGACAGACAAUUAAAACUGAGACUGUUUAUUAGCCCAGAGUUUGGGCGGAAGUUAUGGAGUCCUAAUUCUAUAUUACUCACAAGAAAGGAGUGUGAUUAGCUUACUUAGUCAUGACACAAGAAACUGGCCUUUCCUGAAAACCGGGGAGGCAGGUAGCACAGACAGGCAGCUGUAGAAAUGUCAGAUCCAGGCAACAUCUCAAUUUGUGUCUAUUAUAUCAAGGAACAAGUGAUUUAAUAAGUCUGUGUUAAACAAUGGAAUGCAAAAUUCCAAUAGGACAAGAUACUUAAUGAGAAGCAUUCUGACAUAGGAGAGUCUCCAUCUCUUUUGAGACUACCAGCUAAUUCUCCCUGCCUGGAAAAGAGGUAAAACCCAGCACAGCCUCAGCACCACCCACUGUCCCUAACUUUCUAUUAAAGCAAAAUAUUUCUGUUUUUCAAUAAAAAACAUGUAAAG